rnacentral:hammerhead_ribozyme from 1 species
NCCAGUUGACGAGUCCCAAAUAGGACGAAAGGUACGUCCUUGAU